CUUGUUGUUAUGGUCUGGGAUGCUGCUAGGUGGCUCUUGGUCAAGGAACUGUAUGACUGGUCUUGUGAAAUUCAGAUGCCAACAAUUGGCUUGGAUGAGCAGCAGUGUAGCUGAGACCAGAGAGUUUCUCCAAUGUGAAACUGGGUUGGUAGCACAUGGGAUCUGAGGAGCUGCAGAGUGGAACUCCAGCUGGGCAGCUACUGAUCCUAGAAGGGCAAGUCCUUGAGCAUUAAAUGAAGGAAGCCCCAAAAUAUGAUGGGAGAAGAGCAGGAAGACUGGUUCCUGGCUUGGUACUUCAAGAUGUGGGGAGGAGUGGUUUUCUCAUUGUUUCUUUUAAGCAGUACUCUAUUUUUGUUCAAAACCCUCCUUUGCCUUGAGGAAGCUGUAUGUCACCGGCUGCCCCUGAUGCUGCUCGCUGAUGAACCAGAACUGCGGGCGAUGGAGAUGAAUCCAGGUCUGCUGGGAUAAUUGAGGUAGAUAAGAGAAUUGGAGCCUCCAGCUCAGUUGAAGAGUGAGAAGUGCUCGGUUGUGAGUUGGAGCCUGGAGGCACAGCAUGCAGCCAGCCUGGGGAGCAAGAACCAGCUCGCUCAGCUGGAUCCCGACAGCUCUUUCCAUGCACACACCUCCUCAGACAGCGUUUGCUUUCCAACCGGCAGGGUGGGGAGGGAGAAAAAGGAAGCUGGAAUGUGAGCUCCAAAGCGAGAACUCAAAAACAAUGUAAGAACUCCCAGGAAUGCGAGACGGGAGGGGAAAAAUUACCUGUAUUGUUUAAGACCUGUAACUCCAUGACCAAGCAGGUCUGUGUGCUCAGAUAUUUCCUCCAUCCAUCUGCAGGAGCUGUGCUGUGCUGCGUGGUCACCUCCUGGAGGGGAUUUGUGUGGAUGCUGUGGGGUCACAGUGGGAGUGGGGGAAGCAGCAGCGUGCUUUUCAUUUCUGUUGGCAGUUUUUGCUAAACACAGAUUGCCAUGUGCUGCGGCAAAGGCAACGUGGUAAAACAACUGAGACUGAAUGUGUGGAUCUGCUGCUUUUUUGGUUGGCAAGGGGAGGAACGUGCUGCGUCGCACCAAGCAGGAAUGUGGACAUCCUCAUCUGUUCGUUGGUUUUUUGGAUUUUUCCAGCCUGGCAUAGCAAACUGUUGAUGCCCAUUGGGAACUGACAGUGACUGGAUUCAGCAGGUACUGGGGCUCUCUGUGCUCCCCAUCCCCAGCCAGUGUGAUGCUCUGUGCACCCUGCUCUGCCUUCACUGCAGAUGCAGCUCUGGCUCUUUUGCACUCACUGAGCACCCGUGGGUGUUAUGUUGUGCACCCAAGGAUAGGUGCAGCAUGGUGUGGAUCCUGAAGGCUGCUUCCCUUGCAGACAGAGCUGCUCCUUGCUCUCAUGCCUUACUCUCUGCUAGGAGGUAAAAUGGGAAGGGUUUAAGGUACCUCAAAGAGGAACUGCAUGACCUGAGCUUCAAGCAGAGUUUGUAUGAGAUUUAUUUCUAAAGGAUAACUUGAAACAUUUAGCAACGCUUUGUUUUAUCUUCCACCUCGACACCAAAUUGUCGUUGUGCAGUAAUGGGGAGAAGCAAUAAAGGCUUUCUGCAUUUCCUGCUCCGCAUGAUGACCUGCAGCACCUUUCCUUGUGAAGAUUUCUAAUGCAAAGCUUUGUGGAGGACAGAGCCUGGCUUGAGUGUGAAAUGCAAACCCAGACAAUGUUAGAUGCAGAUCUGAGGUAGCAGAAGGGGGACAGGGUGCUGGAGUCCCGCAGUGCCCCUCAGUUUUGUGUGGGUGACAGCAUGGACUGGGUGUGUGUAGGGAAGGGGAGGAUGGAUGUGGGCAGAGCAGCAGUGCUGGCAGCUGGAGUA